AGUGAACGCUGGCGGUAGGCCUAACACAUGCAAGUCGAACGGCAGCACAGGAGAGCUUGCUCUCUGGGUGGCGAGCGGCGGACGGGUGAGGAAUACAUCGGAAUCUACUCUGUCGUGGGGGAUAACGUAGGGAAACUUACGCUAAUACCGCAUACGACCUACGGGUGAAAGCAGGGGAUCUUCGGACCUUGCGCGAUUGAAUGAGCCGAUGUCGGAUUAGCUAGUUGGCGGGGUAAAGGCCCACCAAGGCGACGAUCCGUAGCUGGUCUGAGAGGAUGAUCAGCCACACUGGAACUGAGACACGGUCCAGACUCCGACGGGAGGCAGCAGUGGGGAAUAUUGGACAAUGGGCGCAAGCCUGAUCCAGCCAUACCGCGUGGGUGAAGAAGGCCUUCGGGUUGUAAAGCCCUUUUGUUGGGAAAGAAAUCCAGCUGGCUAAUACCCGGUUGGGAUGACGGUACCCAAAGAAUAAGCACCGGCUAACUUCGUGCCAGCAGCCGCCGUAA
rnacentral:rRNA from 1 species